rnacentral:rRNA from 1 species
UGGGGAAUUUUCCGCAAUGGGCGAAAGCCUGACGGAGCAAUGCCGCGUGGAGGUGGAAGGCCUACGGGUCAUCAACUUCUUUUCUCGGAGAAGAAACAAUGACGGUAUCUGAGGAAUAAGCAUCGGCUAACUCUGNGUCAG